rnacentral:tRNA from 1 species
GAGGGUAUAGCUCAGUGGCAGAGCGCCUGCCUAGCAUACAUGAGGUCCUGGGUUCAAUCCCCAGUACCUCCA